UAUAGCAUGUCCCUUUCUUGUGAAUUUCAUUGUAAGAAUUUACAUAUUAAAGGCUCUGAACAGGACUGCAGUUAAGGAAACCCACUUGAUUAUGCUUAGUGGAUUACGUUUCUCAAACUCAUUUGCCUGCUGUGGAGCCCUGUUUUGUAUAACCUCUAAUAGCCUGAGAAAUAUACUUUGGGCAACACUGAUCUAGAAGGUCUGAUAUUUGCCAGAUCUGACCCUGUAGACUCAGACUGUUUUCUGCUAUAAGAGCAGCAGCUCUUCAUAUGUGUGCCUCUCUUCUUCUUCUUUUUUUUUUUUUUUUUUUUUUUUUUUUUUGAGAUGGAGUCUUGCUCUAUCAUCCAGGCUGGAGUACAGUGGCACGAUUUUGGCUCACUGCAACCUCCGCCUCAGGGUUCAAGUAAUUCUCCAGCCUCAGCCUCCCAAGUAGCUGGGACUACAGACACGUGCCACCAUGCCCAGCUAAUUUUUGUAUUUUUAGUGGAGAUGGGACUUCACCAUGUUGGCCAGGCUGGUCUCAAACUCCUGACCUCAAGUGAUCCGCCCGCCUCGGCCUCCCAAAGUGCUGGGAUUACAGGCGUGAGCCACCGUGCCCAGCCUCUGUUUGCCUCUCUUCUAACCCAGUUUUGGGUCCCAGGAAAGACUUUCCCUGAGGUCCGUCUUCCUAGUUAGGCCCCACGUGGACUGUCAUUGAGGAGGCCAUAAGGGUCAGAUCAGACUGAUGUUGGGGCUGAAAGUGAAGAUUUAACUGGGGGCAGGAAGAUUUAACUGUGGAAAGAUUCUCCAUAUGUUCUAAACCCCUUUGCCUUUCCCACACAGGAUGGUUUCCCCAUUCGGAUAAAAGCAGUCCAUGUUGUGAAUGAACCUCGAAUAUUUAAAGGCAUUUUUGCCAUCAUAAAACCAUUUCUAAAGGAGAAAAUAGCAAACAGAUUCUUCCUCCAUGGGUCUGACUUGAACUCUCUCCACACAAACCUUCCAAGAAGCAUUCUCCCCAAGGAGUAUGGGGGCACGGCUGGGGAGCUGGACACUGCCACCUGGAACGCGGUACUGCUGGCUUCAGAAGACGAUUUUGUGAAAGAGUUCUGCCAACCUGUUCCUACCUGUGACAGCAUCCUGGGCCAGACGCUGCUGCCUGAGGGCCUGACCUCAGAUGCACAGUGUGACGACUCUUUGCGAGCUGUGAAGUCACAGCUGUACUCCUGCUACUAGCCCGUCCCCCAGGGUCACCAUCUUUAAUUCUUUUCCUUCUUUUCUUUGGAGAGGCACAAGGAGAAUUUAAGGGUUCAAGGAUUCAGUCUUUCUCCUUGUAAUUAAACUGCAGGAUGGAGGAACAGCCUGUGAGAUAUGAGCAUGAGCCCAUUUUGGGGUAAGCCUUUGGUUACUUGAAUUACUCCAUGGAAGACAUGGAAAAUGUCCCCACUGAUUCUUAAACAUUUGGAAUCCCAGUCUGCAACUAUUAAUCUGGAGGCUAUUAUCUGUUUUGUUUUGAUUUUUGGUUGGGGGGUGGUGAUCUGGUUCAUACACAUCUUGGAAGCAAGAACAAUCAGGACCAAAGUCACUUUGAUCCCACUUUUCCAGGAGAAAAACAACCUUUUUGGCCGGUGAGAACUACUUGUAUGAAAUAAUUUGGCCAAACCUGCAGUGUGACCAAAUGUGAGACUGGGAGUUUGCGUUUUUCACAGGAACCCUAAGUACAGACCUCUGCUGCUCAUCAGGAAACUAGUAUACUGGAGAUGAAGGCCCCAGCUGCUGUCACCGGGUUUGGAAAGCACCUUAACUGAAUCAUGUAAGCAUCAGGACAUAAGCAGCACUUUGUGGUCAAAUGUGGAAGCUGGAGACUUCAAAGCACCUCUGGGACCCAUUGGUUGAAGCUUGCAAUAGAAACUUAAGCUUUCCCAAAUCCAUAAAGCCUUAGCCCUGGUUCUCAAUAGAAUCAGGGACCUAGCAGGAAAUGAUUUUACUCAACCUAAAAUGCUGGAUUCCAGGCCCGUGUAGCUACAAGAAUUCUGGCCUGGAUCCCAGGUGUGCAACUAUGACAAGACAUGGGCCUCUACUUUCUCCUCUAUAAAAUGAGGCUGGAUGAAAUGUCAGCUAGGGCCGUUUUGGCUGCUGAGGCUCUGGGAUUUGGUUUAGUUACUGAAUGUUAGAUUUUCUGCCUAGAAAGAUAACUAUCUAGAUACAAGUGGUUGGAUCUUGUUUUUGUUUGUGGUACACGUGUCUUUCCAAGAGAGAUGUGUCACCAAUUAGCCCUGUCUUUAAAGAAACUACUAUGUGUAUUCCUGGGACUCACUGACAUCAAUUUUCUUUUUAUAGUGAUGGUUCAAUUUUGAAAAGAUGGCUUUUGUGAGGCCAGGUAAGGUGACCAGGAUCUUGUAUGAUGAAUUCCUUCCAUCCCUGAGACUCUGGUACUAUAUUGUAAACCUGGCUACAGUAGUUAAUUACUUGAGAUUCUUUAAUUUUGGUCUCUGGGACGGGCGUGGUGGCUUAUGCCUGUAAUCCCAGCACUUUGGGAGGCCAAGGUGGGCGGAUCACAAGGUCAGGAGUUCGAGACCCGCCUGGCCAAGAUGGUGAAACCCCAUCUCUACUAAAAAUACAAAAAUUAGCUGGGCGUGGUGGCGGGCUCCUGUAGUCCCAGCUACUCGGGAGGCUGAGGCAGAAGAAUCGCCUGAACCCAGGAGGCAGAAGUGGCAGUGAGCCAAGACUGCACCACUGCACUCCAGCCUGGGCGACAGAGCAAGACUCUGCCUCAAAAAAAAAAAAAAAAUUUUUUUUUUGGUCUUUGGAAAUGAACACAAGCACAGGUUAUUGCUGGGUCACUUCUGGGCCCCCCUGCCCUCCCAGCCCCACUUGAGUUUCUCUCUCUGGUGUGGGUGAACCAGUCAGCCUGAAUGUUCUGCAUUUCAGCACUUUAGAACCUCCCUGUGAAGAUUUUAGCCUUAGCCCAAACAUCAAAUUAGAUGGUUCACAUGAUGGUUUUUGACCUGUUUCCUUUCUAAUGUAUUCCACACGAUCAUGGUGUUAAAUAGUGAAAAGUACUGUGUUGUGUGUGCACCUUCUCCGUGCAUUUAUUAGACUAACCAGUCAAGGCAGACAGCUCAGUUAGGGAGAAAACAAUACUCUGAAAUUUGAAGGCCAGUCUGUUGUUACUAAGCUGUUUAUCUCUGUUGCCUUUUUAAAUGUCUGGAUAAGUUGUUGGUGGAAAUUUUAAGUUACUUAACCUCAUUAAUACCAAUUCUAGAGAAAGUUCUUUUCACCAUGGAUAGUAACCCUGGAUCCUCUAGGGUCCUGGCUGAGCUGGAAGUGCCAAAAAGCACUCCUGGCUGCUUCUGGUUCCAUCUGACAAUGAUGUGACCCGCACUGCUGAAAAGGCCCAAGUAGGGCAAGUGGGAUAGCUAAAGGAGGGAAGGAGGGGGUUCAGAACCCAGUGGCCUAGAUGGGAGAACUGGGUGGAGACUUCCCCAAGAGGGAAGACAGAUAAAC
rnacentral:sRNA from 1 species